GAUUUUUCAACUUCUUCUUUGCAGCUAGCGCUCAGCCACAAUACUGAAUAUACUUGGACGAAAUCUUGGAUAUAGGUGGACGACACACACAGAAGCGCUCCCGCGGUCUUCACAGACGGAGAGGGAAGCAAAACGCUCACCAGAGCUUCAAUUCACGCGACACGCCACAGUUUCCUGCCGCAAGUUGCAGUAGAGCUACUGGCAAACCGAAUAAAAUGAUGGUAGCUAACCAAUUGUUGGUUCCACGGCUGCUGCAACCAAGGGCAAAGCACACAGGAUCUAGAAUCAACUUUCGCGGGCAAUUUAUUGGCAGUUUGGCAACGAAUGAGUCGUGUUGGAUGGCGAAUUCACCAAUCUCAAAUAUGUAACGUCACACACGCAAAAAAAAGAAACAAGCACUGGCCGUCCGUCCUCAGAAAACCAGUGCAGCUAUGACUGUUGGCAAAAAUACAACAAAUUACUUUUACACACGCUCAAUAUCCACUACACCUGUUACUUACAAAGUUUCACUGGCUGGGCUUAGAAUGGCUCUUUCGCUUGCUCAUGAGGCUUAUAUAUCCCCGCAUACCCUCCCGCCACAAGCCAAUUUUCCAGCCAAACCCAUUUUCUUUAGCUAUUUUCUUUUAGGCCCAUUCUCAUUUUCCCCAAAUACAUCGGUCGUCCUUUUCCCACUGGGGUCGAUUUCGAUUAACGUGGCCACACUCUCGACAUACAUCUACGGUCGUACGACCAAUCUUCGAACAAAUCGUGCAGAUUUCUCAUGGUCCUGGCCAAAAUAAAAAUCACAAGACCAUUGUAAUUUCUUGGGGGUAAUAGCAUACAUGAUACCCCAUAGCAUAUCAAUCAAUGCCUUUCAAUGUCCACCGUGCCUUAAAGUCCAUACCCGCACUGAAUUCACAAAAUCACUCAUUACGCCCUACGCCAACGUACCUAGCGUAUCAUCACGUAAUUCACUAAUUGUUAACCAACCCUGGCUUCGAUCGCAUGAUGUUCGCAGCCAACUUUACGCACAUCCCCAUUCACUCGCACGCCACCACCACGAUACCACGAUCCAUCCACCAGAAGCCCACUGCAGAACACACCAGAAUUAAAAAUUACAUCUUUAAAAGAAAACGUGUGUUCUUCAUCUGGGAAUAUCUCCCUAUCGGCGAAACCGUCAACUUUUGGAUAUCGGUGGUGGCGUGCAUCGCACCAGCCGAUCAUGGAAAUAACCAUAACCACCAUCACACCGUACCCCCCACCCCCUCAUCUAAUCGGUGUCAUCUUUCCCUGCCACCAACACAUUAGGGUGGCCUGCAACAAAACAUCGGGGAACGGCGAGGCUCCGCAGACGGCAACGAUGUGUCAGGACAGGUAGGAUUUCCAACGUGGGGAACACCCACGCCUGAGAUGUCUCAUGCCGGGCUCUAGGCGUUAUAUGGCCGCUGUAGGCUCGUAGUUGUUGUUGGCGUACUACUGGUAUUGACGAAGCCAUGGCCAUUCAGUGGAACUUGCGCGUGAAAACGUAUUUGCGAAAAUCCAGCUCUAUCGGUCAUGAGGGUUGUCGUGCCAAUAUCUCUACCUGUCCUCAUGUUUCCAUUGACCCCUUCACCAUCACCAUAACCAGGUCGAAUGCCAUGGCCCAAAUCCACUCAGGUACCAUGAUCGUUGUGGUUGUCUCUAGUUAGUGUCCGUAGACAUUUGUUUUUUUCUUGAAUUAAAAAAAAACAACACAUGGCCAAAUGGAAAUGAUUGUGUUCCUUCUGGUUUAUGAAAACAUACAGGCAUAGUUUGUGAAUUUAGUGACAGUGGUCGAAUAUGAUUGUGGAAAUAAAUACUAGAUAAUGUCCCCGA